CUCUAUUGUCUAGCUAUAGGUGGGGGUGAGUAUUGUGAUUAUGAUUUGGAAGCAUGAAAAGUUUGAAGGAAAAGAAUAGACUCUUUGUGUUUAAAUGGAUAAUCUUAUUGGAAUUAGUAGAUAAACAUCUAGCUCGAGUUUAUGAAAAUUCUUGGCCCCCGAAAAAAAAUAAUAAUAAAGAAAAAGAAAAAAAAUAUAUAUAGAAAAAGAAAAAAAAAGAGAGAGAAAAGGGGGCUAGUAAAGUUGUUAGGAGCUAAGAUUGUUUUGAGGUUGAGGAAAAUCCUUUAUAGAUUUCAAAGAAAAAGAGUUUUAUGUGAAAGGUGUUCUUGGGUUCUUUUGGUGAGAGAUGUGAGUUGGGUUUGACAUUGGGAAGUGAUUGUGUAACUUGAAUGUUUGGGAAAAGGGUAGAACAAUGGAGAUUGAGCAUUGUAUGCAUG
rnacentral:lncRNA from 1 species